rnacentral:tRNA from 1 species
GGAGUUGUGGCUCAGUGGUAGAGCACUGCCUCGCAUGUGUGAGGCACUGGGUUCAAUCCUCAGCACCA